ensembl:lncRNA
CCCUCCCAGGGGAUGGAUUGGAAGGAGGAAGUCAUAGCUCUGUGGGAAGAGGGCUGAAGGCAAAUGGAUGUAUUGUGUAGGGGCUUAUCCACAGAGGACUGUGAAACUACAAAUUACAAUCCAGCUGCAUUUUCUUAUCUGGAUAUUUUCCCUCCCAUGUGCCUGUGAGUUCUCUCCUGUACACAAGUAGAAGGUGCAAAGAGAUGCUUGGUGAGAAAGCAGAGACUUAACCUGGUAUCAGAAGGGUCCCUGACAGCACAGAAGAUCCCAUGUGCGGGAGUGGAUACUGUGCUUGGAUGGGAUGGUGUGGCUGAUGCCCAUCUUGAACUGGAUGGAGCCAUGUUCACACAGGCUGUGGUGUCUCUAGAUUUAGUGGUUGGUUUUUUUUUUUUGGUGAUUAUUUGGAGAUUUUUUUUUUUGUAACUGACUCUUAAAAAAAAAAAUCCUCAACAGAGUGACAGUCAACAUAUCUGCUGAAAGCUUCUCCACCAAAGGAGGAAGGGAAAGAAGAGAGCUAUCCCUCCUCUGGUUACUGAUGAUGGCAGCAAACUAGGGGACCCAGUCAUCCAACCUUCCCUUCUGUUCCCCCCACCUUGCAGGGAGCUCACCAGCAGGUCCCCAUGGCACUGGCUCUGUCACAGCCACACAGCUGAGGCCAGGUUAUUAGGAUCGUAGCUGGCUUAGGUUGGAAGGGGCGUUAAAGUUCUCCUAGGUCUCUAACAGUCUCCUAGGUCUCUCCACCUGCUGUGGGUUGAUGGUCACUCACUGGUCCAGGCUGCCCAGCACCUCAUCCAGCCUGGCCUGGAGCACCUCUAGGGACAUGACAUCUGUACCAGCACCUCACCACUCCAAGUGUGCUUGGAUCCAGUGCUGGAGGAAACCAAGCAUGUCUGGGUGGAGAUUCAACAGCCCCAAUAGACAGGACCAGCUCUCAGCCCUCAUUCUUCAAAGCAGAGGACUGCAUUACCCAAUCUCUGUGAUGUUCUGGACACCUGCUAGCCUGUAACAGUGGAAACUCAAUGACUCCAUGAUAACAUUAUGUUUAUUUGCUUCCUUUCAAAUGGCCGUGGAUGUGCAGGAUGCUGACAAAUGGGAUUUGGACU